AGUAUCAAUAAUCAAUUGAGUAAUAAAUUGAAAAAGAGUGCCAGCAAAACAUACAGGCCAAACAUCGCUCGCUAAACUGCAGUUGUCAGUUAAGAUUAGCGGGAAAAGGAAAAGAAAUAAGAGUUUAUGGUUCCAACACAUUCGAUCAGCUCAGAACGACCAUUGCUGGUAACAGCUUCCCAUACCAUUACAGAGAUACUGCUAUAUUUUACAGUUGGUUGGAGUCGUUUCAAAUCAAAUUCUUGAUUUGGAAGCCUCCAGACCCAAACAUGUCCACUGUUUGAAAAGAAUGCAAAUCUGGAUUCAUCUGAGAAAAUCACUCUAUCCCAAAAUGAACUGGAUUUUUCUGACAUCUCUUUAGCCCAUUUCUUUUUUUUCAUGAUAUUAAUUGGUUGAAGGAAAGGCUUUCUUCUAACUGCUCGUCUAUAAUACCCAAACUUAUGCAAAUAUGUAACACACAUUCUUGGACUAACUUCUAGCUGUUUUGCAAUGUCAGAAGCCUUCAAAUGGGGUUUGCUUUCCACAAUUCUCUUCAAACAGCGAAGCUUCCUUCCCGAGGGCCCAGGUCAGCUGGGACGAGAAUCUGUUGAUUCUUUUCCUUGGCUUUUGAAUUGCACUAUAAUUCAAUUAACAGUAGAAAGAGGAAUUUGAAGAUUUUCGGCAAUUUUUUGUUGGCUAAGACCAGCCUCAGAUUGCCCACCAACACAACCUCUUUGAAAAUCUGACAGUUCUGCUGAAUAUUUUGUGUGUGGAUGGCUACUCUUCACAAAUGUUUAAUAUAAUGGCACCUGGAAUGAAAAAGAAUAAUUACAUUGAAAAUUGUACACUGCUGAAAACAUAUGAAGAUGCUUAGAUCAGAAAUUUUGAAAAUUAAAUAUGUUUUAUUUA